GUUUGAUCCUGGCUCAGGAUGAACGCUGGCGGCGUGCCUAAUACAUGCAAGUCGAGCGAACUGAUUAGAAGCUUGCUUCUAUGACGUUAGCGGCGGACGGGUGAGUAACGCGUGGGAACGUACCUUUUGGUUCGGAACAACACAGGGAAACUUGUGCUAAUACCGGAUAAGCCCUUACGGGGAAAGAUUUAUCGCCGAAAGAUCGGCCCGCGUCUGAUUAGCUAGUUGGUGAGGUAAUGGCUCACCAAGGCGACGAUCAGUAGCUGGUCUGAGAGGAUGAUCAGCCACAUUGGGACUGAGACACGGCCCAAACCCCUACGGGAGGCAGCAGUGGGGAAUAUUGGACAAUGGGCGCAAGCCUGAUCCAGCCAUGCCGCGUGAGUGAUGAAGGCCCUAGGGUUGUAAAGCUCUUUUGUGCGGGAAGAUAAUGACGGUACCGCAAGAAUAAGCCCCGGCUAACUUCGUGCCAGCAGCCGCGGUAAUG
rnacentral:rRNA from 1 species